rnacentral:rRNA from 1 species
GUAGGGAAUAUUGCGCAAUGGGGGAAACCCUGACGCAGCGACGCCGCGUGAGUGAUGAAGGCCUUCGGGUCGUAAAGCUCUGUUGCAGGGGAAUAAAAAAAUGAAGGUACCCUGUGAGGAAGGAUCGGCUAACUUCGUGCCAGCAGCCGCGGUAAGACGAGGGAUCCUAGCGUUGCUCGGAAUCAUUGGGCGUAAAGAGGGCGUAGGUGGCUUGGUAAGUCAGGUGUGAAAGCCCAGGGCUCAAACCUGGAAGUGCAUUUGAUACUGCUGAGCUUGAGUGUCGGAGAGGUUACCGGAAUACCUGGUGUAGUGGUGAAAUACGUAGAUAUCAGGUGGAACACCGGAGGCGAAGGCGGGUAACUGGACGAACACUGACACUGAGGCCCGAAAGCGUGGGGAUCAAACAGGAUUAGAUACCCUUGUAGUCC